rnacentral:rRNA from 1 species
GGGCCCGCACAAGCGGUGGAGCAUGUGGUUUAAUUCGAUGCAACGCGAAAAACCUUACCAGGCCUUGACAUCCAGAGAACUUACCAGAGAUGGUUCGGUGCCUUCGGGAACUCUGUGACAGGUGUUGCAUGGCUGUCGUCAGCUCGUGUCGUGAGAUGUUGGGUUAAGUCCCGUAACGAGCGCAACCCUUAUCCUUACUUGCCAGCACGUAAUGGUGGGAACUUUAAGGAGACUGCCGGUGACAAACCGGAGGAAGGAGAGGAUGAUGUCAAGUCAUCAUGGCCCUUACGGCCUGGGCUACACACGUGCUACAAUGGGAAGUACAAAGGGUCGCAAGUUUGCAAAGACAAGCUAAUCUCAUAAACUCGGUCUCAGUUCGGAUUGUAGGCUGCAACUCGCCUACAUG